rnacentral:rRNA from 1 species
ACAACCAGUAGCACUGGAUCCCUUGGCACGUCAUUCGAUGAAGAACGUAGCAAUCUGCGAUAAGUGGUGUGAUAUGCAAGUCCACAGCUUAUACGUGAACCAUUGAAUCUUUGAACGCACUGCACUAUCCGGACGACACCCCCGUGAUAGUAUGCCCCGUUGAGCGUCAU